GGCGUUUUUCUCUACAACUGGCCUCCCGACAUCUCAUUGAGAUCUUGACGAAAAUUCGUCACCAUACAGGCGGAUUGCAAAUCCGUGUACAGGAGUUCGAUUCUCCUACUCGCCUCCA
rnacentral:tRNA from 1 species